rnacentral:rRNA from 1 species
UACGUAGGAUCCGAGCGUUAUCCGGAAUCACUGGGUGUAAAGGGAGCGUAGACGGCUGUGCAAGCCUGAAGUGAAAGGCGGGGGCCCAACCCCUGGACUGCUUUGGGAACUGUACGGCUGGAGUGCAGGAGAGGUAAGUGGAAUUCCUAGUGUAGCGGUGAAAUGCGUAGAUAUUAGGAGGAACACCAGUGGCGAAGGCGGCUUACUGGACGAUGACUGACGCUGAGGCUCGAAAGCGUGGGGAGCAAACAGG